rnacentral:tRNA from 1 species
AAGGGAGACCUAAUUCGGGUAGAAGGCGAAAAAAUAGUAGUCGAAACCAAGAAUCAAUCCCAAAAGGUCGGAACGAGGUAUGUGGCUUUCAAACUAGGUUCUGGGUUCACAAAAGACCUGAAUCAGGAACAAGGGCUAUUAGCUCAGGUGGUUAGAGCGCACCCCUGAUAAGGGUGAGGUCCCUGGUUCGAGUCCAGGAUGGCCCACCUGCACAGGUGGCAAAAACAAGAGAAACGAGGAAUCAGCACCUUAUCUUACUUACAUAGUAAGAGAGAAUGCUGGCUCUGAGUAAAGAGUCCAGAGGAACCUUGAAAACUGCAUAGAGCUAGGUGAAAAAGCCAAAAAAGAAGACCGCAA